UGACAGACACCAGCUGAGACCCUCAGA
rnacentral:piRNA from 1 species